rnacentral:misc_RNA from 1 species
AAGUCGUAACAAGGUUUCCGUAGGUGAACCUGCGGAAGGAUCAUUAUUGAAUAAACGUGGUUGGGUUGUUGCUGGCUUCUAGGAGCAUGUGCACGCUCACUCCAUUUUUAACCACCUGUGCACCUUGUGUAGAUCUGAACAAAUCUCGGGGAAACUCGGUCAGAGAAUUGCUGUGUGUUUAAAAGCCAGCUUUUCUUGGGUUCAGAUCUAUGUCUCUAUAUACACCAUAUGAAUGUAUUCGAAUGUAAUUGAUGGGCGUUACAGCCUCUAAAAUCAAAUACAACUUUCAACAACGGAUCUCUUGGCUCUC